AUGCUGGCGGCGUGCCUAACACAUGCAAGUCGAGCGGCAGCGAGUUUUACACUGAAUUCUGGAAGCUUCUGGGUAAUAUAGAAGAUCUAUUCAAGAAUUAUGUGUAAAAUGUCGGCGAGCGGCGGACGGCUGAGUAACGCGUAGGAAUUUGCCCCAAAGUGAGGAAUAACUGCCCGAAAGGGUAGCUAAUGCCGCAUAUGGUCUUCGGAUUAAAGCCUUCGGGCGCUUUGGGAGAAGCCUGCGUUGGAUUAGGUAGUUGGUAGGGUAGUGGCCUACCAAGCCGACGAUCCAUAGCUGGUCUGAGAGGAUGAUCAGCCAGACUGGAACUGAGACACGGUCCAGACUCCUACGGGAGGCAGCAGUGAGGAAUCUUCCACAAUGGGCGAAAGCCUGAUGGAGCAACGCCGCGUGAAGGAUGAAGGCCUUCGGGUUGUAAACUUCUUUUAUGAGUGAAGAAUAUGACGGUAACUCAUGAAUAAGCACCGGCUAACUACGUGCCAGCAGCCGCGGUCAUACGUAGGGUGCAAGCAUUAUCCGGAGUGACUGGGCGUAAAGAGUUGCGUAGGCGGUUUAAUAAGUGAAUAGUGAAACCUGGUGGCUCAACCAUACAGACUAUUAUUCAAACUGUUAAACUCGAGAAUGGUAGAGGUAACUGGAAUUUCUAGUGUAGGAGUGAAAUCCGUAGAUAUUAGAAGGAACACCGAUGGCGUAGGCAGGUUACUGGGCCAUUUCUGACGCUAAGGCACGAAAGCGUGGGGAGCGAACCGGAUUAGAUACCCGGGUAGUCCACGCCGUAAACGAUGGAUACUAGCUGUUGGAGGUAUCGACCCCUUCAGUAGCGAAGCUAACGCGUUAAGUAUCCCGCCUGUGGAGUGCGGCCGCAAGGCUAAAACAUAAAGGAAUUGACGGGG
rnacentral:rRNA from 1 species